AUGGCCGAGGAUACCAAGUUCCUCCUUUUGUUUCUCCUCUUGAGCAGCUCAUCGUUAUGUUUUGGUUCUGAACAAGAUAUCCAGUGCCUGACGUCUGUGCAACAAUCAGUGAUUGAUCCCAACGGUGUACUAAAAUCCUCUUGGAACUUUGAUAAUGACAUUGUUGGUUUCAUAUGCCGCUUUACUGGUGUGGAAUGCUGGCACCCUGACGAGGACAGAGUUCUCUCUCUGCGUCUCGGCAACCUAGGACUUGAAGGCCCAUUUCCUCAUGGUCUUCAAAAUUACACAAGCAUGAGUGGCUUGGACCUGUCGAAUAACAAUUUUUCAGGACCGAUUCCCUCCGGCAUCGGACAGCAGAUACCGUUUGUGACAUCUCUGGAUCUUUCAUACAAUAACUUUUCAGGUGAAAUCUCAGAGAGUAUGGCAAAUUUGGCAUACCUGAACACGUUCAACCUUCAGCAUAACCAACUCAGAGGUCAAAUUCCAGAGCGUUUCAGUGUGCUUGGUCGGUUAACCUCGUUCAAUGUUGCAGACAAUUUGCUCUCAGGGCCUAUCCCCACUUUUGCGCAGGACUUCUCGUCUUUAUACUUUGCCGGGAACCGGGACCUUUGCGGUGCACCAUUAGACGAGUGCCCCGGAGUCGAAGAUGGAGGCUGA
rnacentral:rRNA from 1 species